UACGUAGGGUGCGAGCGUUAACCGGAAUUACUGGGCGUAAAGCGUGCGCAGGCGGUUCUCCAAGUCCGUUGUGAAAGCCCCGGGCUCAACCUGGGAAUGGCAGUGGAAACUAGGGGACUGGAAUCUGGCAGAGGGGGGUGGAAUGCCGCGUGUAGCAGUGAAAUGCGUAGAGAUGCGGCGGAACACCGAUGGCGAAGGCAGCCCCCUGGGCUGAGAUUGACGCUCAGGCACGAAAGCGUGGGGAGCAAACAGG
rnacentral:rRNA from 1 species